AUCUUUGCGCUUGGGAGCAAUGACGCAGCUAGUGAGAUUCUAACCGAGGUGCGUGUAUUGCUGGUUGAAAACUAUUUCCAAACCUCCUCUUUAUUCUGGGUUCAUCUUUGGCCUUUGAGAAUUUCUGGAAGAGCUCCCUUAGGAG
rfam:Vigna angularis cultivar Jingnong 6 chromosome 5, whole genome shotgun sequence.